UCAAAUCAAGACCCAAGCAACAUUGCCAUCCAUUAAUAAAGUCAUACGUGAAGCAUCAUGCUGGAAGGUGACCAGUGAUUUCACCAUAAGAGAUAUUAAUUCCUUCUUCAACCUACCAAAAAACCAACAAUCAAACUAAACCCAUUAAAAUCAUUUCAGUGCCAAAAAAAAACAACCAUCAAGAAACAACAUA